rnacentral:rRNA from 1 species
AUUGAACGCUGGCGGCAUGCCUUACACAUGCAAGUCGAACGGUAGAGGGGGCAACCCCUCGAGAGUGGCGAACGGGUGAGUAAAGCAUCGGAACGUGCCCAGUAGUGGGGGAUAGCCCGGCGAAAGCCGGAUUAAUACCGCAUGAGACCUACGGGUGAAAGGGGGGGAUCGCAAGGCCUCUCGCUAUUGGAGCGGCCGAUGUCAGAUUAGGUAGUUGGUGGGGUAAAGGCCUACCAAGCCGACGAUCUGUAGCUGGUCUGAGAGGACGACCAGCCACACUGGGACUGAGACACGGCCCAGACUCCUACGGGAGGCAGCAGUGGGGAAUUUUGGACAAUGGGCGCAAGCCUGAUCCAGCCAUGCCGCGUGCGGGAAGAAGGCCUUCGGGUUGUAAACCGCUUUUGUCAGGGAAGAAAUCCUUUGAGCUAAUACCUCGGGGGGAUGACGGUACCUGAAGAAUAAGCACCGGCUAACUACGUGCCAGCAGCCGCAGUAAUAC